rnacentral:lncRNA from 1 species
GAGAAAAUGAGAAGCCAUGAGGCCUUUGGGAGAAUCUUAGGAAAAAAUUCUCUCUCAUCCCCUUGGGAUUCAAAGCUGAGAAGAUGUAAGGACUGGAGCUGCAGCAGUCUUUCUGGGACCAUUAUACAGAGAUUCUGUCUGAGGUUGGAUCCACGUGGUCAAAAGUAUUGCUGAGGAGCCAGAGAGAGACUGAGGUCUGAUGACAUCACUUGAGCCCUGCAGACUUUUCAUUUACGGUGAGGGAAGUGAGGCACAAACAAAAUACAACAAAAACCAGGCCCAGGACAGGUGGGGCCAGCACACUUUGCAGUUUUUGAACGGAUGGUACAGACAGACCCCCCCACAGCAAAGCGCAAGGAACCAAGGGGAACUGACUUUGAAAAAUGAUUUGCAAGAUAACUGAAUGCUCCAAACCAGCAUGAAAGAGUCGACAUGAGACGAAGCUCCAUAUUUUCUCAUUUUCUGCCACGGGAAAAGGCAAGGAUGGCUGCAGAAAGCCUCAGUUGCCAGUUAUUCUCUCCAUGGUUUGAAAUUAUUUUCAUGAGUCUCUGUGUG